GACAGACUCAUCACGUGAUUUCCCAGAAACAGCACUUAGAGGGAAGUGCUGUUUCUGUCCAGUGAUGGAGCUCUAACACUAUGCAAGACUCCGGAAGAGGAAACUACCAUUAAUACCGUUGAGGUGUAUCAUCCAUAGCCGCGGUUUGUACCAGUUUAGUUUGCGGUGACCUCAUAGCAGAAACAGGAGCAGCAGGCUUUGACAGAGAGACAGAAGAAAGGAGAUCACUGAGUUGCAUUGUGGAGUGACAGUUUGAAGAUGGAGGAUGAACUCCAGUCCAUGAGGAGUCGGCAACAUUGAACUUCUAAGAGAAUCCUUCUGCUUUGCACGAGAAGUGAACAUGUUUUAGACACAAUCUGUAAUCCAAACAUAAACAAAAGAGU